GUAAAGACACUCUCGGCGACGUCAUUAAAGACAUUGACAGUUACGCCAACAGUGUUGACAAAAGUGGUGGUCACAAGCCUCCAGCUGUACCUAUUGUGAUCAACCAAGGAAAGGAGCCGGAACUCUCCCAAGUGCAAAGUGAACAUGAAAGUCGUUCUAAUUCAUUUGAACCAGCCUCGGGUGGUGUGGUUGUCGAGGAAGAGGUUGCCGCUCCUGUGCAAGAGAAACCACCUAGUGCUGUCUAUUCUACUACUAUGAAGUUUAAGAAGCUAAUUUCAAAGAUUGAUGCGGACACGCUGGUCGAUUUCAGUAAUGGGUUGGUCCUGAAGGGAAAUGAGCUACUCUCCAUACCCUCCAUUAUCCACCGGCUAAUCCGCAUGUCAUGGACUCAUGUGUGAGUGUCAUUAGGGAGUCUCUUUUCAAAAACAUCAACCCAGCCAACGACCCUAGGGCGGAUAUGUUACCUUGCAGGUUUUAUGGAGCAUUUGCAGCUGAAUACUCAAAGUUCAAGAAGUGUAGGCGUCAAGAAGGAUUCACAUUUAAUUUAGAUCUUGUUAAUUCUGUCACCGUGAGGUGCGAUGAGCUGGGGAAUGAAUGGUUGAAGGAUAUUGACUACUUGUAUUCUCCGUUUAACAUUGAUAAGAAUCGGUGGGUUGGGUUGGUUGUGGAUUUGCGCUUACACACACUCACGGUUUUUUUACUGCACUGCUUCUGCUCGUCGUGCCUCAAGGCUAAAGCCCCAGCUUGAAUUUAUAUGUGAGAUGUUCCCAUACUUUGUCCGACAUGUGGGUCGCAACGACCUUAUGACCAAUUUUUUGCUCGAGCCUUUAUCAUUCAUCAGGAACAUCCAUGUCACCCAAGCAUCUGUCCGUGCCAACACCGGUAUCUUUUCCCUUCUUUUCAUGGAAGCACAUCAUGUUGGGGGUUCGGAGAAGGUUCACCUUGUCAAUGAGGUUGGUAUCCGGCAGCAAGCUGAGCAGCUGGCGGUGGACAUGUAUGAGCACUGUCAUGGCGAGCUUGUAGACGACUAAGUUUCUAGAUACGGAUCCAUGGAUGAAAAUAGACUUUAGUUUUCGGGCCCUUUGUGGAUGUUUAUGAAAACUUAUCGCGUGUAACUUUAACUUUUCUUUACUACUUUUGUUCGUCAUUUCACUCUAACUCGCUACUUUUCAAAUUAUAUGCUUUUGUUUUCUU